ACAGAGGGGGCAAGCGUUGCUCGGAAUUACUGGGCGUAAAGGGCGCGUAGGCGGGAUGGCAAGUCGGUCGUGAAAUCCCUCGGCUCAACUGAGGUACGUCGAUCGAUACUGCCGUUCUUGAGGGUUGCAGAGGAGACUGGAAUUCCCGGUGUAGCGGUGAAAUGUGUAGAGAUGUGGAGGAACACCAGUGGCGAAGGCGGCUCUCUGGCCUGUAACUGACGCUGAGGCGCGAAAGCGUGGGGAGCAAACAGGA
rnacentral:rRNA from 1 species